rnacentral:rRNA from 1 species
AGUGAACGCUGGCGGUAGGCCUAACACAUGCAAGUCGAACGGCAGCACAGUAAUAGCUUGCUCUUACGGGUGGCGAGUGGCGGACGGGUGAGGAAUACAUCGGAAUCUACUUUUUCUUGGGUGAUAACGUAGGGACACUUACGCUAAUACCGCAUACGACCUACGGGUGAAAGCAGGGGAUCUUCGGACCUUGCGCGAUUGAAUGAGCCGAUGUCGGAUUAGCUAGUUGGCGGGGUAAAGGCCCACCAAGGCGACGAUCCGUAGCUGGUCUGAGAGGAUGAUCAGCCACACUGGAACUGAGACACGGUCCAGACUCCUACGGGAGGCAGCAGUGGGGAAUAUUGGACAAUGGGCGAAAGCCUGAUCCAGCCAUACCGCGUGGGUGAAGAAGGCCUUCGGGUUGUAAAGCACUUUUGUUGGGAAAGAAAAGCAGCAGGUUAAUACCCCGCUGUUCUGACGGUACCAAAAGAAUAAGCACCGGCUAACUUCGUG